rnacentral:tRNA from 1 species
GCGGACUUGGCCGAGUGGUUAAGGCGAUUGACUAGAAAUCAAUUGGGCUCUGCCCGCGUAGGUUCGAAUCCUACAGUUCGCG